rnacentral:rRNA from 1 species
CUUUUACAAUGAAGAGUUUGAUCCUGGCUCAGGAUGAACGCUAGCUACAGGCUUAACACAUGCAAGUCGAGGGGCAGCAUUUCAGUUUGCUUGCAAACUGGAGAUGGCGACCGGCGCACG